AUUGAACGCUGGCGGCAGGCUUAACACAUGCAAGUCGAGCGGGGAAGGGUAGCUUGCUACCUAACCUAGCGGCGGACGGGUGGGUAAUGCUUAGGAAUCUGCCAUUUAGUGGGGGACAACAUUCCGAAAGGAAUGCUAAUACCGCAUACGUCCUACGGGAGAAAGCAGGGGAUCUUCGGACCUUGCGCUAAAUGAUGAGCCUAAGUCGGAUUAGCUAGUUGGUGGGGUAAAGGCCUACCAAGGCGACGAGCUGUAGCGGGUCUGAGAGGAUGAUCCGCCACACUGGGACGGAGACACGGCCCAGACUCCUACGGGAGGCAGCAGUGGGGAAUAUUGGACAAUGGGCGGAAGCCUGAUCCAGCCAUGCCGCGUGUGUGAAGAAGGCCUUAUGGUUGUAAAGCACUUUAAGCGAGGAGGAGGCUACUUAGAUUAAUACUCUAGGAUAGUGGACGUUACUCGCAGAAUAAGCACCGGCUAACUCUGUGCCAGCAGCCGCCGUAACAC
rnacentral:rRNA from 1 species